ACUGUUGCCUCUGUGCUGGCUCUGCAAGUGCACGUCGGUGACUUUCAUUCCAAUACCCUUGUGAACCUUUGGCCUCUUGCUAGCUUCGGCUGGCAGAGGAUUCUACAUACAAACUCGCAUGUAAUGAAACUCUUGUUGUGCACAAGCACUACUAUACAACUUUCAACAACGGAUCUCUUGGCUCUCGCAUCGAUGAAGAACGCAGCGAAAUGCGAUAAGUAAUGUGAAUUGCAGAAUUCAGUGAAUCAUCGAAUCUUUGAACGCACCUUGCACCCUUUGGCAUUCUGAAGGGUAUGCUCGUUUGAGUGUCAUUGUACUCUCACACUUCCGAUCUUGCAUUGGGAGCGGUGGACUUGGGUUUGCUGCCUUACCGUAGCUUACCUCAAAUGUGUUAGUGCAACUCUUGGUUGGACAUAGUACGGCGUGAUAAGUAUCUUCGCCGGUGCCUCGCAAUUGCGAGGGUGGCCGAUCGGGAUGUUGUGCUCCAAACCGUCUUCGGACAAUCUCUGACAACUUGACCUCAAAUCGAGUAAGACUACCCGCUGAACUUAAGCAUAUCA
rnacentral:rRNA from 1 species